AUUGAACGCUGGCGGCAGGCCUAACACAUGCAAGUCGAGCGGAUGAAGGGAGCUUGCUCCUGGAUUCAGCGGCGGACGGGUGAGUAAUGCCUAGGAAUCUGCCUGGUAGUGGGGGAUAACGUCCGGAAACGGGCGCUAAUACCGCAUACGUCCUGAGGGAGAAAGUGGGGGAUCUUCGGACCUCACGCUAUCAGAUGAGCCUAGGUCGGAUUAGCUAGUUGGUGGGGUGAAGGCCUACCAAGGCGACGAUCCGUAACUGGUCUGAGAGGAUGAUCAGUCACACUGAAACUGAGACACGGUCCAGACUCCUACGGGAGGCAGCAGUGGGGAAUAUUGGACAAAGGGCGAAAGCCUGAUCCAGCCAUGCCGCGUGUGUGAAGAAGGUCUUCGGAUUGUAAAGCACUUUAAGUUGGGAGGAAGGGCAGUAAGUUAAUACCUUGCUGUUUUGACGUUACCAACAGAAUAAGCACCGGCUAACUUCGUG
rnacentral:rRNA from 1 species